GGCCACAGCCAUAUCACCCUGUAGCCCAAGACUGGUUGCCCACUGAAGCUAAGCAGGGCUGAGCCUGGUCAGUACCUGGAUGGGAGACCUCCUGGGAAAACUAGGUUGCUGUUGGAA
rnacentral:rRNA from 1 species